CCCGUGCUACAACCGCACACAGCAGGUUCAAGCAUCGAAGGAUCACCUGUCACGUGGCGAGUCUGAGUAACUAG
rfam:[Bacillus] aminovorans strain DSM 1314 DSM1314_contig_13, whole genome shotgun sequence.